ACCGCCAUGGAAGGAGAAGCUCACAGGGUCAAACAGGCUCCCCCAGGGUGAGCUGGGAUGAUGAUGAACUGGGAAUUAACCAAAGGACAAUCAGAGUCCUGGUACACGAAAUCCUGCCCUCAGGCAGAUAGUAAGGGAGACAAGGGCCCAACUCUGGAGGGACUCAAUUUUCCCACCAGCUUAUUGGGUACACACUUGACAGCCCAUUACCUCAUUACUGGGGACGCUUCCUCCUUCUCUUGGUGAUAACAUUUCCCAUCCACAGCCCCCAUAACUGACACAGUCACAUGACUGCACACAGAGCAGUCCCACGGGAAGCAGAGUUCUGCACUCAAACCAUCCACAGUGCACUCACAUAGGGAAUUCACAGGCGCGAGGGUAACGCUUGCUCUCUCUUCCCCACAGACAGCCUAUGGUUCUCUCAGCUCUCAGGGAUUAUACCAUGGAGCUCAGUCCCUCACAGACACACAGAGGAGAGCCCUGUGCACACAGCUCUGUUCACCUUCAGGCCGGCAUCCUCCCAGUCCCUCCCUCCCAGGACGCCAGGUCCAAUCCUUGUGUGAGGAGAUACUCUGACCGUCCCUGGCAGCUACACUGCCUGCCCACCACCUCUGCUGGUGGGGUGUAGGCUCCAAAGCUUCACAGACCCAGAACCUCUGUAGUCUUGAUAAACCCCAGACACAGGUUACUCUCUAGGGAACUCAUUUGGGCUGCAGCUGUAUUCAUGGAACACACAUCGUAUCAGCAGCUCAUGCCUCCCUGGAGCUGAACUGACAGAUCUGUAUGGUGGGGCUGUGGCUGUUCCUUAACAGGUAGGUACCCUGGAGCCCUGGCCACUGUGCUCAGACUCGGGUCACUGCUCCUCUUCUCAGCAGUCUUUCAGCCUGGAAGAGUUUGGCCUUGAGUUAAUGGGUCCAGUGCUCUCAGCCCAAAGCCUGAGGGGUGGGAAGAAAAACCAAGCCAGUUGGAGCCUGGGUUCCAGAAAACACGUCCCCAUAACUGAUCUGAAGAAGGGAAGUGCAAGCCAGUCCACCGCCCUGGAAGUCUGUCCACUGCCGGUUGCCCCACCUCAAGGCUCCAGUGUGGUUUUUGAAGGUUUAGCUUAUCAUGCUUGGCCUGACAUCCCUCCCCUCUCCCUGCCUCAUUCAGGCGCUCGCCACAUAAGACCCGUUCUUCAGGUCUUUCAAGGAUUGAGAAGCCAACGGUCAGUCUGUGACGGGGAGGACAAAGCUGGAAGCUCAGAAGGUGGGAGCAGGAAGAGCUUUCUCUUGUCUGCUGCAGCAUAAGUGCAGUUAUGUGAUUCCCUCCUCUCAGUGACGGCUUUUCCUAGGUUUGCUGUAGUGGUAACCAACAUGGCUCCCGGCUCCGGGCUUCCAUCCAAAGCUAAGAAAGGGUAUGCUGUAAGCCGACACCUUUGGUCCUAAGCUCUGAAAAUGACCUCCAGAGCCACCUGUGGGGCCAACUUUAGAGCUGACCAGUCCCAAUGCUGUGUCUGGAGCUAGAGUAGGUGAGGGGCACAGCUCUCCCAGAGUUAAUACGAUCAUUCUCACCAAAGGACUGGAUGGACCCAGAACAGCCAGAACAAGGCCCCAGAAGUUCUGAGGGCAUGAGACCUCUUCCCAUGGAGCCAUCUCGCCAGCACAAAGAAUCUGACUGUUUACACGACUCCGUGCUGGCACUCGUGGGGGUCAAGGAGCUCCCCCAGCCUUUGGAGUUCAGAGCUGAGGUGGAACACAGUGUUGUUGGAAGAAGGCUAAAAGACUGAUGAUCUCUGGCUUUGUAAUCCUAACCGUACUUGGGGCUAGAAGCUAAUGGUUUCUGUAAUCUUAACACUCUCUUGCUUAUUCUGUGGCUGAAAACCACCCGCUUUUUUUCUCUUCAUAUUUGUGCUUUAAUAAGCGCUGGGGGAAACUUUGUGCUUAAAUGAGUGCAGAAACUCAACUUGUUAUUACUAAUCCUAUGCUUUAAUAAGCACUGAGAAAUGAGCUCUUCAUUACUGUCCUGUGCUUAAAUAAGUGCUGAAAACU